GGGGGUGUAGCUUAGUGGUAGGGCACUUGCCUAGCAUGUAUGAGACCCUGGGUUCUAUCCCCAGCCCUG
rnacentral:tRNA from 1 species